CCUACGGGGGGCAGCAGUGGGGAAUAUUGCGCAAUGGGCGAAAGCCUGACGCAGCGACGCCGCGUGAGGGAUGAAGGUCUUCGGAUCGUAAACCUCUGUCAGCAGGGAAGAACGGUCACUGUGCUAAUCAGCAGUGAAUUGACGGUACCUGCAAAGGAAGCACCGGCUAACUCCGUGCCAGCAGCCGCGGUAAUACGGAGGGUGCGAGCUUUAAUCGGGAUUACUGGGCGUAAAGCGCUCGUAGGCGGUAUGUCAUGUCAGGGGUGAAACCCCGGGGCUCAACUUGGGACUGGCCUUGAAACUUGCAAACUGGAGUGUGUGAGAGGAUAGUGGAAUUCCAGGUGUAGGAGUGAAAUCCGUAGAUAUCUGGAGGAAAAUCAGUGGCGAAGGCGACUAUCUGGCACAUAACUGACGCUGAGGAGCGAAAGCGUGGGUAGCAAACAGGAUUAGAUACCCCUGUAGUC
rnacentral:rRNA from 1 species